rnacentral:rRNA from 1 species
AACUUCUGAGUAAAACCAUAAAUAAAUCAAAACUUUCAACAACGGAUCUCUUGGUUCUGGCAUCGAUGAAGAACGCAGCAAAAUGCGAUAAGUAAUGUGAAUUGCAGAAUUCAGUGAAUCAUCGAAUCUUUGAACGCACAUUGCGCCCGCCAGUAUUCUGGCGGGCAUGCCUGUUCGAGCGUCAUUU